AAAGGCUGUUUAAAGUAUGGAACAGGAACAGGGAUACUAAGAAAAUAAUUGUGGCACAAUCACAUGAAGAGGUGCUGCAAAAAGCUGCAGUUAAACUCGGUUUGAUGAGUGAAGUACGGGCAGUGCUAGAGGUGGAUGGAACAGAAAUUGAAGAUGAUGAAGUUUUAUCCCUGUUUACGAAAGGUGACGUCAUCAUGGUGUUGGAAGUCGGCCAAGAGUGGGAAGGGGCAGCCACUGUUUUAACAGUUCAUGCUAGUGAACAGAAUUAAACCACGGAUGUGAAUGAUCAGUCAGAGAGACAAACAGAGUCAUGUAAAGAUCGAUCAGAGAGACG
rnacentral:lncRNA from 1 species